GAUGAACGCUAGCGACAGGCUUAACACAUGCAAGUCGAGGGGCAGCACGAUGUAGCAAUACAUUGGUGGCGACCGGCGCACGGGUGAGUAACGCGUAUGCAACCUACCUAUCAGAGGGGAAUAACCCGGCGAAAGUCGGACUAAUACCGCAUAAAACAGGGGUUCCACAUGGAAAUAUUUGUUAAAGAUUUACCGCUGAUAGAUGGGCAUGCGUUCCAUUAGAUAGUUGGUGAGGUAACGGCUCACCAAGUCUACGAUGGAUAGGGGUUCUGAGAGGAAGGUCCCCCACACUGGUACUGAGACACGGACCAGACUCCUACGGGAGGCAGCAGUGAGGAAUAUUGGUCAAUGGGCGAGAGCCUGAACCAGCCAAGUCGCGUGAAGGAUGAAGGAUCUAUGGUUUGUAAACUUCUUUUAUAUGGGAAUAAAGUGAGGAACGUGUUCCUUUUUGUAUGUACCAUAUGAAUAAGCAUCGGCUAACUCCGUGCCAGCAGCCGCAGUAA
rnacentral:rRNA from 1 species